CUUGCUUUCUUUGCUGGCGACCGGCGCACGGGUGAGUAACACGUAUCCAACCUGCCCUUUACCCGGGGAUAGCCUUUCGAAAGAAAGAUUAAUACCCGAUAGCAUAAUGAUUCCGCAUGGUUUCAUUAUUAAAGGAUUCCGGUAAAGGAUGGGGAUGCGUUCCAUUAGGUUGUUGGUGGGGUAACGGCCCACCAAGCCUUCGAUGGAUAGGGGUUCUGAGAGGAAGGUCCCCCACAUUGGAACUGAGACACGGUCCAA
rnacentral:rRNA from 1 species